CGAAGCUGCUGUGUAACGCUGCUGCUUUCCAUUUCAGUUUGCACCCACAUAGAGAGCCAACAAACUGACCUAGUUCACAAUAAGCAACCGAGGAUGCACGGUGACUUGAUUUCACAUGGCCAAGGAUUCUAUCUCCACAGGACCCAGCAGCAUGCCAGGAGCUUAUUUUCAAAAGAAGCUUUUUUAUUAACUCGCUUUUGCUGGCUUUGGUGUAGCAAGAUGCCAUAUUGGAGAAGCUCAAACAGCAAUGAACUGAGGGUGGCCCCUGGCCAACAACCAGCAUGACACUGAUGUCCUCAGUCUAAUAGCCUGUAAGGGAGUAAAUCCUUCAAAUAAUCAUGUGAGCUUGAAAGUGAUCCUUCUCCAGUUGUGCCUUCAGGUAAAUCCUGGCCCAAACCUUGAUAGGCAGCCUUAUGAGAGACCUUGAAGUAAGAGGACCCAUCAAGGCUAUGCUUAGAUCCUGAACCUCAGAAGCUGUGAGAUAAUGACUGUAUGUUGCUCUAAGCUGCUAAGUUUGUGGUAGUUACACUGCAACAGAUAAUACAGUGUAAUAAAGCGUCUGAUACCA
rnacentral:lncRNA from 1 species